GACGAACGCUGGCGGCGUGCCUAAUACAUGCAAGUAGAACGCUGAAGGAGGAGCUUGCUUCUCCGGAUGAGUUGCGAACGGGUGAGUAACGCGUAGGUAACCUGCCUGGUAGCGGGGGAUAACUAUUGGAAACGAUAGCUAAUACCGCAUAACAGUAGAUAUCGCAUGAUAUCUGCUUGAAAGGUGCAAUUGCAUCACUACCAGAUGGACCUGCGUUGUAUUAGCUAGUUGGUGAGGUAACGGCUCACCAAGGCGACGAUACAUAGCCGACCUGAGAGGGUGGUCGGCCACACUGGGACUGAGACACGGCCCAGACUCCUACGGGAGGCAGCAGUAGGGAAUCUUCGGCAAUAGACGGAAGUCUGACCGAGCAACGCCGCGUGAGUGAAGUAGGUUUUCGGAUCGUAAAGCUCUGUUGUAAGAGAAGAACGAGUGUGAGAGUGGAAAGUUCACACUGUGACGGUAUCUUACCAGAAAGGGACGGCUAACUACGUG
rnacentral:rRNA from 1 species